rnacentral:rRNA from 1 species
GCCUUGCGCGAACGGAGCGGCCGAUGGCAGAUUAGGUAGUUGGUGGGAUAAAAGCUUACCAAGCCGACGAUCUGUAGCUGGUCUGAGAGGACGACCAGCCACACUGGGACUGAGACACGGCCCAGACUCCUACGGGAGGCAGCAGUGGGGAAUUUUGGACAAUGGGCGAAAGCCUGAUCCAGCCAUGCCGCGUGCAGGAUGAAGGCCUUCGGGUUGUAAACUGCUUUUGUACGGAACGAAAAGACUCUGGUUAAUACCUGGGGUCCAUGACGGUACCGUAAGAAUAAGCACCGGCUAACUACGUGCCAGCAGCCGCGGUAAUACGUAGGGUGCAAGCGUUAAUCGGAAUUACUGGGCGUAAAGCGUGCGCAGGCGGUUAUAUAAGACAGAUGAGAAAUCCCCGGGCUCAACCUGGGAACUGCAUUUGUGACUGUAUAGCUAGAGUACGGCAGAGGGGGAUGGAAUUCCGCGUGUAGCAGUGAAAUGCGUAGAUAUGCGGAGGAACACCNGNANUNNGGCGANGNCANUCCCCUGGGCCUGUACUGACGCUCAUGCACGAAAGCGUGGGGAGCAAACCGGAUUAGAUACCCUGGUAGUCCACGCCCUAAACGAUGUCAACUGGUUGUUGGGUCUUCACUGACUCAGUAACGAAGCUAACGCGUGAAGUUGACCGCCUGGGGAGUACGGCCGCAAGGUUGAAACUNCAAAGGAAUUGACGGGGACCCGCNACAAGCGGUGGAUGAUGUGGUUUAAUUCGAUGCAACGCGAAAAACCUUACCCACNCUUUNGACAUGUACGGAAUCCUUUAGAGANUAGAGGANGNUGCUCGAAAGAGANGCCGUAACACANGGUGCUGCAUGGCUGUCGUCAGCNUCGNUGUCNGUGAGANUGUUGGGUUNAAGUCCCGCAACGAGCGCAACCCUUGNCCAUUNAGUUGCUNACGAAAGGGCACUCUAAUGGGNACUNGCCGGUGACAAACCGGAGGAAGGUGGGGNANUGANCGUCAAGUNCCNUCAUGGCCCUUANUAGGUGGGGCUACACACGUCAUACAAUGGCUGGUACAGAGGGUUGCCAACCCGCGAG